rnacentral:rRNA from 1 species
GACGAACGCUGGCGGCGUGCUUAACACAUGCAAGUCGAACGAUGAAGCCCUUUCGGGGUGGGAGUAGUUGGCGAACGGGUAGGAGUAACAACGUGGGUAACCGUACGCCCUCGUACCCUCGGGAGUAAGACCUUCGGUAAACGGAAGGGUCGUAAUUAACCGGACGUAUGACCUCGCUCUCGCAUGGGGGUGGGGUGGGAAA